rnacentral:misc_RNA from 1 species
GGACUUGAAGCAACGAAUAAUACAUCGCAAAAGAUCCAUGCUGAAACAAGGGUUUUUCCCUGAAGCCAAAAUAGAAACAAGAUGACGUCAUUUGCCAUGUUGGCAAAAUCGUCGUGUGUAUAAACAUGUCGAUUAUUAUGCAAAUAUUAUGUAGUCGUAUGAUAUAUAAAACUAUAGGAAAAGACCCUACUUAUUUAUUACUGACCCCACGGCUUAGAGAAUCUUCUCCAAAAUAUAAGAAUUGGACUAAGAUCUAGAAAACUUUUACGAGAAUCCUUAGAGAAAAUAGAGGAAAAGAUAAAUAAUGAAGGACAUCGAUGAAGAGGCUGUUCCUUCCGUAGAGUUCAACUUCGACAACAUUAUUUCUGCAGCAGCAUAUUCCGUAAGAUAUAUAACUAAACUAGGCCAGAUUUCUUUUGAGGAGACUACUAUGAGGGAAUUAACCGUACAGCCAUCGAAAGCAACCACGGACUACAAGAAAACCAUCGUGGUACGAGAACCGUCGAUGAUGGAAUGCCGUUUCCGAGACUUACCCGUGAAUCUCCAACUGUUGAUCUUCUCUUACCUUGAUGCAAGAACAUUAUGUAAAAUAGCCCCCACUUGCAAGUACUGGAAAAUGUUAAGCGAGGAUAAAGUCCUGUGGGCCCAGCGCCUUUCAACAGACUUGAAAAAGUGGAAAUGUAUUGGUCACAUGACCUAUCCACCUACAUACCUUGAGACUAAUACAGACCUAACAACAAAAGAAAUAUACCUACGAUGCUGUCCAAGUUGUCAAUCACUAUGGCAACCCAAAACCAAUGCCAUGAGUUCUUUUGCAUCAGUAUUUCUCAACAAUCUUCAAAACAUACCCAAUCUAUUCACCAAGAAGCCUUUAAAAGUAGUAAUGUUUGGUCCUGGACUAGAGUCUGAAACCAAGUCCCUGACACAAACAAUAUUAUGGGGUACAAAGUCACCAUUCCAAGUAACAGGCUUAUUUGCUGGAGAGUUUGAAGGAGUUGGGUCUGGAGUGUGCUUGAAGUUAAAGAAAAGUAAAGUAGAGUUGAAUCUCAUCACUUUGUAUGGAUCUACAAGUGCCGAGAGAGAAAGGAAUGCAAGAGAAGGGAAAGAAAGAGUUAGUAAGCUACUAGCAGAAAAAGACAACCAAGACGAUGACAACCAUGAUGACAAUGCUCAACCGUCUGCACAAGUUGAAGUUAGCCACUCUGUCAAGGAACUCUGUAAAACUGUAGAUGCUUUUAUUUAUGUAGUUAACUCAUCUACAGAGAUUCGUAGAGGNAAGAACAAGAAAAGAAAGCAAGAAAAGCCACUUAAGUUCAUGCUUUUUCAUUUUGCCACAUACUUUUACUCCACCCUUUUUACCAUGCAUGCAAUAUAUCUGACCUGAUAAGGGUCAUGGGUGUGGCCUAUGGGUGUGGCUCAUGCUUUGGUAGUAAAAGUCAUAAAAAGCAUUGAUCAAAAAAAGCUUGCCUAUCAUGAAAGCGCUCUAUUUUGGGAUUGGCUUCUGUGAGUGUGUUCAGUUGGUAUACUUUCUUUCUGACGAAGGGAUGGUCCAAGUCAAAGAAACUAGAAAAACUGUUCUGCUUAAGAGUGGAUUCAGAAAAUCAAGAACUAAAUGCUGUAAUGAAUGUCAACUGGUCAAGACCAAGGGUACCCCUGUUAGUAUUAUCUUGUGUGGCUACUAAAGAAUCACAAUCAUUGUCCUGUGCUCAAGUUGUGG